rnacentral:sRNA from 1 species
CACCUGAUUUCUUUUUUUUGGAAUAUUAAAGCCUUGAGGUUAAAGAAAAUAAUAAGAGUUGUUAAAAGGCAGAAUUGUGUUUAGGAGACUCAAUAUGUAGUGUUGCAACACUAGGAGGAAAAACUCCAGGUACAUAUUAUUCACUAAUAAUAAUAAUAAUAAAAGAAAAAAAAAAAGUAUUCUUAAAACUUGUGGAUCUGUUUAUACAACUUCAGCUAUAACCACUAUAACUGCUGUGCAAAUGACUCUCAAAUCAUAGGCCCACCCUUCUUUGCUGAACUCCAUCCAGAUCUUGCACUGUUAAACUGCUGUUAGAUUUAAGCCAAACUCAUUUUUUUCCUAUUUCUUCCAAAAUUUUUAUUCCCCAAUCCUAUAUGGUCUUUAAUUUUAGUACUUAUGGUCUUUAGACGUCUGUAUGUAUGUAUGUAUUUGUGUAUGUAUAUAUGUAUGAAUGAGACAGGGUCUUACUCUGUUGCCCAAGCUGCAGUACAGAGGUUAACUGUAACCUCCAACUCCUGGGCUCAAACUAUGCACCCACUUUAGCCUCCCAAGUAGCUAAGACUAUAGACACACGCCACCACGCCUGGCUAAUUUAUUUUGGUUUUUUUAGAGAUGGGUCUCGUUGUUUUUCUCAGGCUGGUUUCAAACUCCUGGCCUCAAGUGAUCCUCCCUCCUUGACCUCCCAAAGUGCUGCGAUUACAGGCCUGAGCUACCAUGCCCAGCACCCAUGUUUAUUAUUUUAUAUAUUAAUGCCUGUGUACUGCCGUUUUUGUGCUGAAUCCAACUUUGUGAGUUGACAAAUGGAGGAGCUAUUGCGUGGGGAACUAUCUGACAAUCUACAAUUUAUUCUUAGAAUUUUGUUAUCUUUGUUUCUAUAGCAGCGUUUGUGAGAUUACUCGAUGAUUUUAGAGCAUUAUAUCAGUGAUUUUUCAACCAAGAGUGAUUAUGCCUCCGUGGACAUUUGACAAAUGUCUGGAAACGUUUUUGAUGUCUAGGACUGGGAGGCUGCAACUGGCAUCUGGUGGGUGCAUAGAGGUCAGGGAUGCUGCUAAAUGUCUUAGAAUGCACGGGCUGGCCCCUACAGCCAAGAACUCUCUGGCCCAAAAUGUCAACAGUGCCACAGUUGAGAAACCCUGCAUUAUACAUUUAUGAAAAUUAAUUAAAAAUGAAAAAAUAGAGUUCGAUGAUAGCCUUCAAUUAUGUAUCAUUAAUGGAAAUCUUGGGUUAGUACUUCUCAGGUAUAUUAACCUCUCUGCUAACUUUGUCUUAUCAUUUCUGCUCUUAUUUUUCCUUUCUCCUAUUGUCUUCAUUCACUUUUUCUUUAAUUUUUUAAUUGUAACCAUUUAUGUAAGCCAACUUUAUUUUUUUCUGUAAGAAGUUUUAAGUAUGUAUGAAUUAAUAAAAGAAUGUACAGAAGUGUACAGAAAGUGUUAGAGUCAGAUAACCAAGUGUAUAGUGAGCAAAGGAUAUUUACUGUUUCCAAGGGGAAUGGUUUUUUUCCCCCCCAAAAAAAACUCAUUGUUGUGGUCUUUUUGUCUGCCAGAGUGGUUCAUGGCCUUGAAAAUUUGUGAACCCCUACUUUGAAAAUAAAGUACUUCAAAGGAAAUAAACAAAAAGAAAUCUCACUAUUUAAGUGAAGCAUGUCUUUUUGAUGGAUUGGCUUUAUUCUUUUUCUAAAUCUGACCACCAGAUAAUUUUUCUGUUUCUUUUCCCUGAAUGUUGCCAGGACACUCAAUCACUUGUCGGAAGUCCCUCAACCCGUAUAGCACCUCAUAUUAUUGGAGCAGAAGAUGAUGAUUUUGGUACUGAACAUGAACAGAUCAAUGGACAGUGCAGCUGUUUCCAGAGCAUUGAAUUACUAAAAUCUCGCCCGGCUCAUUUGGCUGUUUUCUUACACCAUGUAGUUUCACAAUUUGACCCUGCAACUUUGCUCUGUUAUCUCUAUUCAGACCUGUAUAAACAUACCAAUUCGAAAGAAACUCGUCGCAUCUUCCUUGAGUUUCAUCAGUUCUUUCUAGAUCGAUCAGCACACCUGAAAGUUUCUGUUCCUGAUGAAAUGUCUGCAGAUCUAGAAAAGAGAAGACCUGAGCUCAUUCCUGAGGAUCUGCAUCGCCACUAUAUCCAAACUAUGCAAGAAAGAGUCCAUCCAGAAGUUCAAAGGCACUUAGAAGAUUUUCGGCAGAAACGUAGUAUGGGACUGACCUUGGCUGAAAGCGAGCUGACUAAACUUGAUGCAGAGCGAGACAAGGACCGAUUGACUUUGGAGAAGGAGCGGACAUGUGCAGAACAGAUUGUUGCCAAAAUUGAAGAAGUAUUGAUGACUGCUCAGGCUGUAGAGGAAGAUAAGAGUUCCACCAUGCAGUAUGUUAUUCUCAUGUAUAUGAAGCAUUUGGGAGUAAAAGUGAAAGAGCCUCGAAAUUUGGAGCACAAACGGGGUCGGAUUGGAUUUCUUCCCAAAAUCAAGCAAAGUAUGAAGAAAGAUAAAGAAGGGGAAGAAAAAGGGAAGCGAAGAGGAUUCCCCAGCAUCCUGGGACCCCCACGGAGACCAAGCCGUCAUGACAACAGUGCAAUUGGCAGAGCCAUGGAACUACAGAAGGCGCGCCACCCUAAGCACUUAUCCACACCCUCAUCUGUGAGUCCUGAACCUCAGGACUCUGCCAAGUUGCGCCAGAGUGGGUUAGCAAACGAAGGA